rnacentral:rRNA from 1 species
UAGUCAUAAUACAUGCUAGUCGAGCGAAUCUGAGGGAGCUUGCUCCCAAAGAUUAGCGGCGGACGGGUGAGUAACACGUGGGCAACCUGCCUGUAAGACUGGGAUAACUUCGGGAAACCGGAGCUAAUACCGGAUAAUCCCUUUCCUCACAUGAGGAAAGGCUGAAAGACGGCUUCUAGCUGUCACUUACAGAUGGGCCCGCGGCGCAUUAGCUAGUUGGUGAGGUAACGGCUCACCAAGGCCACGAUGCGUAGCCGACCUGAGAGGGUGAUCGGCCACACUGGGACUGAGACACGGCCCAGACUCCUACGGGAGGCAGCAGUAGGGAAUCUUCCGCAAUGGACGAAAGUCUGACGGAGCAACGCCGCGUGAGUGAUGAAGGUUUUCGGAUCGUAAAACUCUGUUGUUAGGGAAGAACAAGUAUCGGAGUAACUGCCGGUACCUUGACGGUACCUAACCAGAAAGCCACGGCUAACUACGUGCCAGCAGCCGCGGUAAUACGUAGGUGGCAAGCGUUGUCCGGAAUUAUUGGGCGUAAAGCGCGCGCAGGUGGUUCCUUAAGUCUGAUGUGAAAGCCCACGGCUCAACCGUGGAGGGUCAUUGGAAACUGGGGAACUUGAGUGCAGAAGAGGAAAGUGGAAUUCCAAGUGUAGCGGUGAAAUGCGUAGAGAUUUGGAGGAACACCAGUGGCGAAGGCGACUUUCUGGUCUGUAACUGACACUGAGGC